UACGUAGGGGGCAAGCGUUGUCCGGAAUCAUUGGGCGUAAAGCGCGUGUAGGCGGCCCGGUAAGUCCGCUGUGAAAGUCCAGGGCUCAACCCUGGAAUGCCGGUGGAUACUGUCGGGCUCGAGUCCGGAAGAGGCGAGUGGAAUUCCUGGUGUAGCGGUGAAAUGCGCAGAUAUCAGGAGGAACACCGAUGGCGAAGGCGGCAUCCUGGACUGGUCCUGACACUCAUGAGCGAAAGCGUGGGGAGCGAUCCGG
rnacentral:rRNA from 1 species